CCUACGGGAGGCAGCAGUGGGGAAUAUUGGACAAUGGGCGCAAGCCUGAUCCAGCAAUGCCGCGUGUGUGAAGAAGGUUUUCGGAUUGUAAAGCACUUUCGACGGGGACGAUGAUGACGGUACCCGUAGAAGAAGCCCCGGCUAACUUCGUGCCAGCAGCCGCGGUAAUACGAAGGGGGCUAGCGUUGCUCGGAAUGACUGGGCGUAAAGGGCGCGUAGGCGGACCGUACAGUCGGGCGUGAAAUUCCUGGGCUCAACCUGGGGACUGCGCUCGAGACGUAAGGUCUAGAGUAUGGAAGAGGGUCGUGGAAUUCCCAGUGUAGAGGUGAAAUUCGUAGAUAUUGGGAAGAACACCGGUGGCGAAGGCGGCGACCUGGUCCAUUACUGACGCUGAGGCGCGAAAGCGUGGGGAGCAAACAGGAUUAGAUACCCUGGUAGUCCACGCCGUAAACGAUGUGCGCUGAUGUCGGCGGCGUGUCCGUUCGGUGUCGUAGCUACGCGAUAGCGCACCGCCGUCGGGUAGGUACGGCCGCGACGGUAGUAACGUACGAAACGGAAGUUAGACGGCGUGUAAGACGUGCCGACGGACGACGACGAGGGAGGUUAGG
rnacentral:rRNA from 1 species